ACUCGAUUGGCUUGUGAUACAUACACACACCCAAAAUGGCUACGGCGGAUCAGCUGACCGAAGAACAAAUUGCCGAAUUCAAGGAGGCCUUCUCCCUCUUCGACAAGGACGGCGACGGCACCAUCACCACCAAGGAACUGGGCACAGUCAUGAGGUCCUUGGGCCAGAACCCCACCGAAGCCGAACUGCAGGACAUGAUCAACGAGGUGGAUGCUGACGGUAAUGGCACAAUCGACUUCCCCGAGUUCCUCACCAUGAUGGCCCGCAAAAUGAAGGACACCGACUCCGAGGAAGAGAUCAGGGAAGCCUUCAGGGUGUUCGACAAGGACGGCAACGGCUUCAUCUCUGCGGCCGAGCUCAGGCACGUGAUGACCAACCUCGGAGAGAAGCUGACUGACGAGGAAGUCGAUGAGAUGAUCAGGGAAGCCGAUAUUGACGGCGACGGUCAGGUCAAUUAUGAGGAAUUCGUGCGAAUGAUGACUUCUAAGUAGAGACGCCACCUGCGGCCCCUCCCCCCCCGUCGGGCCGUGGCUGGCCGACCUUAACCCUUAAUAAUAGCUAGUUCGUCACGAUGAUGACCUCGAAGUGAAGUGAUCGCGCCUCCUAAAUAUUGUAAACAAAUUUCAAACGAACAGUUUUUUCUGCUUUCCAAUUUAUCUUGUUAACGGACCGCUAAAAAAAAAAAAAAAACAUUGUAAUACACGAGUCGUCACUAUCUCUUAAUUGCUAACUCUUAUUGCCUUCAUAUACACGAUCUGGCUCUCGGCUAGAGUUUCCAGCAGCAGUAUCAAGCAGCCACCACCACCACCACCACUACUUCUACGUCUGCUACUACUACUACUACAACUACUACUACUAUUACUACUAUUACUACUAUAAACCUUCCUCUGUUCUUACUCCUCCUCCUCCUUCUACCACUUUUCCUACUACUAUGACCACGGCCCCACUCCCUCCCUCCGCCUUCGCCCCUCUGCCAGCCUACUCACCCCGCCAGCAGAACACCAGCUACAGCAAGAACAAAAGCGAGUAAACAGCAAGAAAGCGAGCGAGCAAGCAGCCACAACCAACAGCUUUUUCGGUGGCAAGGAAGGCGGGCCGUGAGGAACCUCUGGUCCGCCUGCAACAUGAAAUUCGAAGCCAAAAUGGACAAGCAAAAGAAAAAUAAGAUCGGUAAAAAUCGGACUGCACCUUUGAGACAACCAUUGGAAAAGAAACAUUCGAUCAGAACCGACGGAAAAGAGCGUGUAAGUGUGGGGUGUGCGCCAGACGAGGGCGUGGAGGAUGCUGACGGGACGUGGCUGAACCUUAUCCCCCUGGCAGGAGUAAGUGACUCUGUCAGUAGCGGUAGCGCCGUUAUAGAUGGGUUGGUUGUCCUAGGGAUUGCGUCACGGGUGGCUGGACCUCUGGAAAGAAAAAAGGGAAAAUAUAUUGCUAUUUAACCAGUGAUUAUAUAUAUAUACUACACAUACAUUUAUGUAUAUUAUAUGAAUAUAUACUCGAAGUAGCAAGCGAUACUUUGUGAUGAAAGGGUAGGGAGGCUUCGUGGACGUCGUCGUCAGACCCACCGGGACAGCCUUGAAGAUCUUGCUGCCAGCUCGCGUCCACCGCCCUCAAGGUGUGCUCUCCCACGUAGCCGUUCGGGCGGCCGAGGCGCGACCCCGUGCCUCUGCCGAAGCCGCCGCGGUGGCGCCAUCCGACUGUUGUGGUUGCCGCCGCGAGCCUGGCUUGGCUUGGCCGGCCGCCCCGGGUGACCUCUUCACUUCCGCCACCUUGACGUCGUGAAGGUUGCCAGGUCGCGGGUCACGCGAGUGGCCGUGACCGGUGACGCAACGCUGGCCGAGGCGCCGGUGGGUACUGUCGCUGCGAAGACUUCUCGCCGUUAUCUCCUGCAUCAUUGUUGAACAACGUGAAGACUUUUUUGAACAGCCGAGAGGCCAGCCACCCUUUACUCGUCUCUCAAGACUACUUGGCUCUUUCCUUAAGUUUUCAUUUUGUCUGUCCAGUUCUGAAUAAGAAUGGAAAUAUAUAUAAAAAUAGGUUGGUCAGUUUUUACAAGCUGUUGUAGCAAAAUUAUUAUUUUUAGUUGAGAGAACCAUUGCGUUCGUGAAAUAUAUUUGAUAAGAGGAUAGUAUCCCGUCUGGCCAAUGGUCAGGCUGGGUUACUUUGGACCUUUUUUGAAAUUCCUCUUAGAUUUUUUUUUUCUUUUUAAUGAAGAUCGCUGCCUUGCGAUGCCUUUUUUUAUUUUAGUUUGUCUGGAAGUUAGUUUCUCUGGUAAAUAAGAAAGGAAGGAGAGGGUGCGCUGUAUUUUUGUGUUGGUUGAAUGAAGUUGGUACAUUUCCGUAUCAUGUAAUUUCUUGUUAGGUGUGUCUUUGUCAAUUUUUCUUAAAGGAAUAGCAAAUGUAUACAUAUUGCAAAAAACAAAAAUGAAGUUGAAAAAAUUUCCUCUUGUACUACAUAAUACUAAUGUAAGGCACGUCACACAACCAUGACUGUUUCUGUUUCCCAACCACCACUUCCCUGCAUUGUUUACAUCACUUGUUUGUUAACAUUGCCGCUUUGUGCAAAGGCUCUGUUGCCUCUGCCAGCGAGCUUGACCACUUAUACUAUGAUUACGAUAGACCAUGCUGAUUAAAUAAUGGAUAUUAUGAUUAUAAUUAUUAUUGUGUAGGAGAAAUACAGUUCUUUCAAAAGUUUUUUUCGUCUUUCUUGCAACAUGUCAUGUAAAGAAAGUGUUUUUUUUCUUUCAAUUCUUUCUUGCCAUGCUUAUCAGGGUCUCAACAGUUGACGGCGGAUUGUAGUUAAGCUUCUAAUUUUUUGUUCUUGUCAAGCCCCAUUGGGGUGCAGCGCCCAGGAUGGUCACCAUGGCAACCACGCCCGCCUCCCAACCGCUCGGUCCUGGCUCCGCCCACCACCUUGGGGUGUGGGCGGGCGCUAGCGAUGGGUUCGGUGUGGGAUGGGCGUGCGGCGCCGGGUACCCACCCUGCUUGGCUAUUUUAGAUUCAUUUGGGGGAAUCCUUAUAUUGCUGGUGCGUUGGUGUAGUUACGUUGUGUAUCUCGACCCAGACACUGCGACACUCGACACAACUACACAACGUGAUGAACAUUCCUUUAAAACUUGCUAUGUUUUUGUGAGGGCGAGGACCCCGCCUUGGGUUUGGUGGGGCCCCUCGCGCCUCGUAAUCUUGUUUUAGUGUGGUACGAUAGGUGAGCGGAGACCUGCGGGGAGGGGGCGUGGAGGCACUCGCCGGUCUGCCCCCCUGGGCGUGCGUGCCUAGGGUGGGUGGUGGUGGUGGCACUCGCCGGCCGCCCCCCUCCCAGGCCCUGCCCUGGAGGUUGGGGGAGGGCGGGUGGGUGGGAGGCCCUGGGAACAGGGGGGGCGUGGCGUGUGUGUGGGGGAGUGUGGGGGGAGAGGGAAGUGGUAAAUACGACCGAAAAAAUCGGCUGUGCGAGGCCGUAGUCAAGUUUACCACACCCUCUCCCACGCCUUCCUCCCGCCUCCUCCGCCGUCCGCCCCUGUCCCCUGCCUCCCACCCAGCCCCCCCUUCCCCUCCUCUCCAAUGAGCGGGGUCGGGUAUGCAGUGGGUGUCCCUCCCCUCCCCGCCAGGCCCCGUACCCCCACCCCCUCAGCUAGUGAGACCCGGUACCGCAGAGCGUCCCCGCACUACCAUCACCACUACAACACCAGCAGCAGCAGCAGCAGGUGUUGUUGCUCCUGUUGUCUCCGGGGUGUGGGCGGCGAGGGGCAGCUGUGCCGCCCGGCCGCCCCGUACCGCCCCAUCCACCCAUCACUGCACCAUUUAAAAAAGAAAAGAAAAAGGAAAAAAAAGUGUUAAUUAAUAUCAUUAGUUUUUGUCAUGUUUGGGCCCCCUUUUUUUAUAUAAACCUAUUUGACUUGUGAGCCUGUUUCCUCCUCCCGGCCGCUGGUGCCGCGCGCGUUGUGCCACCGCCGCGGCACUAGCAAGUAGCCGCAGCUCCUGACAAGCCCAUUCGCUCUUUUCAAACAUUGCCGCAUUCGAGCUAAGGUUUCCUGGUGAAGGUGCAGGAGGGGCGGGCCGGAGCCCCAGCAGCCACCUUUAGCCUCCACCAGCCAGGCCCCUCCCCGUCCUUCGCCCCGCCCUCCGCCCCGCCCUCGGCCUAAGCCCCUCCCCCUGGCACCCACACGUGGCUUCGGGGGCGCUGGCCUCGGGCGGCGGACGGUGGUGGUGGUGGCCGGGUGGGCGGUGGGUGGGGUCGCACUAGUAUUGUUGGUAGUGGGUGUGGGUGGCGGGGGCGGGGGAGCCGCUGCGGAUGCUUCACCCCACCACCAGGACUCCAUUAGUAAUUUGAGGACCGGAUGUCAUGUUGUAUUGAAUAAAAAAGAUCAAGAAAGA